rnacentral:ncRNA from 1 species
AAGGCGUGAUGUGUGUGAGAUUACCCGCUGAAUUUAAGCAUAUAAGUAAGCGGAGGAAAAGAAACUAACUAGGAUUCCCUUAGUAAUGGCGAAUGAACAGGGAUCAGCUCAGUGCCAAAUCGGAAUCACUUGUGGUUCUGAAAUGUGGCUUGAAGGCAGUACCAGUGGCAUCGCGGACGAAAGUCUCUUGGAAAAGAGCGUCAUAGAGGGUGAGAAUCCCGUGAGUCGUUCGCCGUUUGUCACGUACGGUCUGCGUUCUAACGAGUCGCGUUCCUUGGGAUUGGAGCGUAAACGGGUGGUAAAUUUCAUCCAAAGCAAAAUAUAUACUCGAGACCGAUAGCACAAAAGUACCGUGAGGGAAAGGUGAAAAGAACUUUGAGAAGAGGGUUAAAUAGUGCCUGAAAUCGUUGAGAAGGAAGCGGAUGCCGCCGUUGCAUAUGCUGAUUGUAGGAUUGCUGCUCGCUCCUGUCUUCUGCUACUCAUUCACAGACCUGGUCGUGUUGAGCAGUUGUUUGGCAGAUGUUAGUGGUGUUUCCUACUUUCAGUCGUCAGCAUCACUGGCUGAGUGGAAAUAAUCCUUGGAUGCUAAUUGGUUCGCUAUCUGUGAAUUGGUUGCUUCCUUGCGAUACUCACUACUCGGUCAGUGAGGAAGUGCGUUUGCUGGUCAACGAGCUUUCUAACUGUCAUUACCCUGCGCUUUUCGAUUCGUCGAGUGGCCAGGAUGUGGCUUUGAGAUUGUUCGCACUUAGUAAUCGCGAUGCUGGCUUCCAACGGUUGCCUCCGGCCCGUCUUGAAACACGGACCAAGGAGUCUAACGUAUGUGCGAGUGUGUGAGUGGCAAACUUAUACGCGUAAUGAAAGUGAGGCCGUAUGGCCAUGUUGGGGUCACCAACAACC